CCUACGGGAGGCAGCAGUGGGGAAUAUUGCACAAUGGGCGAAAGCCUGAUGCAGCAACGCCGCGUGAGCGAUGAAGGCCUUCGGGUCGGAAAACUCUGUCCUCCAGGAAGAUAAUGACGGGACGUGAGGAGGAAGCCCCGGAUAACUACGUGCCAGAAGCGGCGGUAAUACGUAGGGGGCUGGCGUAAUCCGGAUUUACUGGGCGUAAAGGGUGCGUAGGUGGUUUGUUAAGUCAGAGGUGAAAGGCUACGGCUCAACCGUAGUAAGCCUUUGAAACUGGGAAACUUGAGUGCAGGAGAGGAGAGUGGAAUGCGCAGUGUAGCGGUGAAAUGCGUAGAUAUCAGGAGGAACACCAGUUGCGAAGGCGGCUUUCUGGAUUGUAACUGACACUGAGGCACGAAAGCGUGGGGAGCAAACAGGAUUAGAUACCCCGGUAGUC
rnacentral:rRNA from 1 species